rnacentral:tRNA from 1 species
GGGAAAGUGGCUGAGUGGUUAAAAGCGACAGACUGUAACUCUGUUGAAUU